CCUACGGGAGGCAGCAGUGAGGAAUAUUGGUCAAUGGACGAGAGUCUGAACCAGCCAAGUAGCGUGAAGGGUGACUGCCCUAUGGGUUGUAAACUUCUUUUAUAUGGGAAUAAAACGUUCCACGUGUGGGAUUUUGUAUGUACCAUAUGAAUAAGGAUCGGCUAACUCCGUGCCAGCAGCCGCGGUAAUACGGAGGAUCCGAGCGUUAUCCGGAUUUAUUGGGUUUAAAGGGAGCGUAGGUGGAUUGUUAAGUCAGUUGUGAAAGUUUGCGGCUCAACCGUAAAAUUGCAGUUGAAACUGGCAGUCUUGAGUACAGUAGAGGUGGGCGGAAUUCGUGGUGUAGCGGUGAAAUGCUUAGAUAUCACGAAGAACUCCGAUUGCGAAGGCAGUUCACUGGACUGCAACUGACACUGAGGCUCGAAAGUGUGGGUAUCAAACAGGAUUAGAUACCCGUGUAGUC
rnacentral:rRNA from 1 species